rnacentral:tRNA from 1 species
GGCUUUAUAGUCAAUAAAUAAAAUGAUAUCAGACUGCAAUUCUGAAGUAGUAUUUUUACUAAAGCUU